AAAGAUUUUUUUUUCGUUACGAGACUGUAUGGUUGCUAAAUGUAAAAUUUUUUCACGUUUAUUUACAGGAAAUCUAGCCUGUAAUUUCCUAUCUGUCAAAUCACCUUAUCAAUUAUCACGUGGCCUGAAACUGAUGUCGUUGCUUGUUACUUGUACCGGUUGUAUGUUAAUGUAUCAACCAAUGAAGAAACACUUGACGGCAAAACAUAGGAGCAUGAACUGCAGCCAGUUGGUGGAAGGUAGUCAGCUGUUGUAUUCAGUUUGUGAGGCCGAGGCAUCCCAAUGCAGAAACAAGAAAUGAUUCACAAAAAGGUGUGUAAAAUUGUGUCCACCAGAUGGCGGAGUGUGUUUUCGUGAGUGACGAAGCCGCCAUUUGCUGUUGACUGUUGAGACAGUGUACGGGAAUGUGCUGCUGCUGCUGAUUAAUGAGGAUGUUCUUCGCUUUUACAUUUUUAAAAAAUCUUUCUACGCCUUUCGACCAAGCUGAAUCGAAAGUGAAUAAUUCUAAAGCAAUUUUAGCUUUUUUCCACGUGAUUGCUGUCGUGUGAUGAAGAUGCGUCUCUGAGAGGAUCUCUACUAUACUGCAAGAUAAAAAUGUGAUGAAACCAGGAAAUUUGAAAUGUAUGAGAUGCAGCCAGUUGGCGGAAGUUGUGAAGAUGUUAGCUGUUGCAAUCAGUUUAUGACUGAGGCAUUCCAUGCAGAAACCAGAAAUGAUAAGCAUGGCGGAGAUCUUGCCUUUCUCAACGUGCGGUGCCGUGUCAACAAGAUGUCUCUUUGAUGAGGUUGCAGAACAGAAAUGUGAAGAAAACAGGAAAUCUGAAAUGGUAAUGAUUUACUUAUAAGAUAGAUCAAGUGGGUUAGCAUUUUGCUUAAACUUUUGUCUACGUGUGUGUGGUACCUAUGCUUUUCUUCUUGGUUUAGAAUUUACUUAAGUUUAUCAUUUGAUUUAGAUUAAAUUUGACUACUUCCUGCUUCUAAAUAAGACAGCUUUUAUGAAAAGAACAUAAGCUUGUGAAGAAUUGUAAAUUUUUUGAUCAAACAGAACAGAAAUUCCCUUCAUUCUUAAAAUAUUAAAAUGAAAUCUUAUUUAGUCAUGUUCUUGAUUUAUUUUUCUCUUGUUCAAUGUAAAUUUGAAGAAAAUCUUUGCCUUAAUUACUAAGCGUUUGAAACAUUUAUUAUACGAUUGUAAGCUAAAGAUAAAUAUCACUUGCAUUUUUUGUUUUGCUCUCUAAAUUUUAUUUUCUGGUAUCUUUAAUCACAGAGUUGAUGUUCAGACAAAUUGAAACUGGUCUAGAUCUACAUCACAGAGUUGAUGUUCAGACAAAUUGAAACUUGUCUAGAUUUACAUUCUAGAUUGAUUUUAUCUGAAUAUACAAGAAAGAGAAUAGAGGCAACAAUAUCAAAUGAUAAUAGACAAACUUUUGCAGAGAUCAAAUGAAAAAAUAUUUUUAUAGAUCAAAAGCUAGCAUAAAUCAAAGGAGUAGUCAAAACGUGUAGAUUUGAUGAAAAAUACAGGGGUUACAAACCAGUCGUCAAUAUUGAGAAGAGCUUGUUUCUUUGCAUAAAAAAAACCCCCGUGCAGUCACACAUUAUUAUAUAGGUACAUCAGUUGGCUGGGCGGGCAACAUAACAAAAGGACGGUGAAUUUAACAAAAAAAAAUAUCCCAACUGUUAAAAUCGUCACGUAACGU